rnacentral:rRNA from 1 species
CCUACGGGUGGCAGCAGUGAGGAAUAUUGGUCAAUGGCCGGAAGUCUGAACCAGCCAAGCCGCGUGAAGGACGAAGGUGCCAAGCAUUGUAAACUUCUUUUGUCAAGGGACAAAAUCAGGCUCGAGAGCCUGACCGAGGGUACUUUAAGAAAAAGCAUCGGCUAACUCCGUGCCAGCAGCCGCGGUAAUACGGGGGAUGCGAGCGUUAUCCGGAUUUAUUGGGUUUAAAGGGUGCGUAGGGGGGCUGUUAAGUCAGCGGUAAAAGCCCGGGGCUCAACCCCGGCGAGCCGUUGAAACUGGCUGUCUUGAGAUGUGGAGAGGUAGGCGGAAUGCGCAGUGUAGCGGUGAAAUGCUUAGAUAUUGCGCAGAACUCCGAUUGCGAAGGCAGCAUACCGGAGGCGAUCUGACGCUGAGGCACGAAAGCGUGGGUAUCGAACAGGAUUAGAUACCCCAGUAGUC